UGGGGAAUAUUGGACAAUGGGCGAAAGCCUGAUCCAGCCAUGCCGCGUGUGUGAAGAAGGUCUUCGGAUUGUAAAGCACUUUAAGUUGGGAGGAAGGGCAGUAAGCGAAUACCUUGCUGUUUUGACGUUACCGACAGAAUAAGCACCGGCUAACUCUGUGCCUGCAGCCGCGGUAAUACAGAGGGUGCAAGCGUUAAUCGGAAUUACUGGGCGUAAAGCGCGCGUAGGUGGUUCGUUAAGUUGAAUGUGAAAGCCCCGGGCUCAACCUGAACUGCAUCCAAAACUGGCGAGCUAGAGUAGGGCAGAGGGUGGUGGAAUUUCCUGUGUAGCGGUGAAAUGCGUAGAUAUAGGAAGGAACACCAGUGGCGAAGGCGACCACCUGGGCUCAUACUGACACUGAGGUGCGAAAGCGUGGGGAGCAAACAGG
rnacentral:rRNA from 1 species